CUCCUAGUGGGGAGCCCAGGGUGGUCUGGGAGUGCUGCAUGCACCCAGCUGCUGUAUCACCAGGACAUCAGGAGGUGGAGUUUAUAGUCUACUGAGGUGAUUAAACAGCUGGAUUAAGAGUUUCCAUCCCGGAGUCAAACAGACUGAAAUCAAAUCCCCAUUUCACCUCUAACCAGCUGUGUGACCUUGGGCAAGUGACUUCCCUUCUCUGGGCUUCAGUGUACCUGCUUGUAAAAUAAAGGUGGCAUCCCUGAGUCCUGAUGCCUGACUGGAUGGAGGCCCACCAGCUUCUGUUCCCAUGAGGUAGAAAGGCCAAGCUUGGUCUUCAGCUGGGGAAGAGGCCAGAAACAAGGCCCCCAGUGAAAUAACCCAGAUCCAUUGGCCUGAGGAGCAGAGAAAGGGCAAGAAGUGAACUGCAGCUGCUGGUAACCCUCAGAAACCUUCUCCAAGUGCUAUUCUCACAGUUCUUUAGGAACACUCUGAAGUGAAGAACAAUAUGUAGGAAAAUGGGACCAACUUAUGUGUGUUCUGAGCCUCAAAACC
rnacentral:lncRNA from 1 species